GGUGGUUCAGUGGUAGAGUGCUUGCCUGGCAUGCAUGAGGCCCUGGGUUUGAUUCCCCAGCACCA
rnacentral:tRNA from 1 species